ACCAGACUCCUACGGGAGGCAGCAGUGGGGAAUAUUGGACAAUGGGGGGAACCCUGAUCCAGCGACGCCGCGUGAGUGAAGAAGUAAUUCGUUAUGUAAAGCUCUAUCAGCAGGGAAGAAAAUGACGGUACCUGAGUAAGAAGCCCCGGCUAACUACGUGCCAGCAGCCGCGGUAAUACGUAGGGGGCAAGCGUUAUCCGGAUUUACUGGGUGUAAAGGGAGCGUAGACGGCAGUGCAAGUCUGGAGUGAAAGGCGGGGGCUCAACCCCCGGACUGCUCUGGAAACUGUACGGCUGGAGUGCAGGAGAGGUAAGUGGAAUUCCUAGUGUAGCGGUGAAAUGCGUAGAUAUUAGGAGGAACACCAGUGGCGAAGGCGGCCUGCUGGACGAUGACUGACGUUGAGGCUCGAAAGCGUGGGGAGCAAACAGGAUUAGAUACCCCAGUAC
rnacentral:rRNA from 1 species